rnacentral:ncRNA from 1 species
CUUAUACGACUGACGGAAGUGGAAUUGACCACAGGAAGUAUAGGAAGAAAGCGCCGACCGUCUGGGCAUCA